CGGUGCCAGCUGCGAGGUGCAGUGGGGCAGGUUAAUUCGAUAGCGCAGGUCGGGCCGCCAGCG
rnacentral:ncRNA from 12 species